AGAGGCAUAGCUCAAUGGCAGAGCACCCGCUUGAUAAGCGGGCGACCGCGGUUCGAUUCCACGUGUCUCUACCA
rnacentral:tRNA from 1 species